UUUCCGUAGGUGAACCUGCGGAAGGAUCAUUAUCGAGAGUCUGUACCAAAAGCCCACUGGCUCUGCCUUUGCGGCGGUGUACAGCUCAUACUACACCCUUAUUUAUCCGUACCCUUUGUUAUUUCCUCGGCGGGGACGCCCGUCGAUAGGAAGCCCAUUAAACCUAUUGCAUUAGCAUUAACACUUCUGAGCGUAACCUAAAUCUUUACAACUUUCAACAAUGGAUCUCUUGGUUCUGGCAUCGAUGAAGAACGCAGC
rnacentral:misc_RNA from 1 species